GAGAUGGAUUUGGGCUAAGACUCCAGGUAGCACCUGAUCUAGUGGUUCUCAACAUUGAUGGCAUGUUGGUGUUAACUGAAGAAUCCCGAGGCUCCUAAAUUUGAAGAGGAAAGGUUGAUUUCUUAUGCAGCCUGCAGGCAAUUGUUCUCUUAACUGAAUUAAUUAGGGAAAACUUCAGGAACAGCAAAUUAAAACAGUGCCUUUUACCAACCCUUGGGGAGCUGAUCUAUCUUGUAGCCACCCAGGAAGAAAAAAAAAAGAACCCUAGAGAGUGCUGGGCUGUUCCCUUGGCUGCAUACACAGUGCUAAUGAGGUGCCUUCGGGAAGGGGAAGAGCGUGUUGUGAAUCACAUGGCAGCAAAAAUUAUUGAAAAUGUCUGUACCACCUUUUCUGCUCAGUCCCAGGGCUUUAUUACAGGAGAAAUAGGACCCAUUUUGUGGUACCUAUUCAGACACUCCACUGCUGAUUCUCUUAGGAUAACAGCAGUAUC
rnacentral:lncRNA from 10 species